AAGAGAGGCUCGAAGCACUGGUGACUGCUAAUCCUCCAGCCCCACGGUUAAACUCCGUGGCUCACUUG
rnacentral:tRNA from 1 species